GACGAACGCUGGCGGCGUGCUUAACACAUGCAAGUCGAACGGUGAAGCGCCUUCCUUUUUGGUGGGUGUGGAUGAGUGGCGAACGGGUGAGUAACACGUGAGUAACCUGCCCCCUUCUUCUGGAUAACCGCAUGAAAGUGUGGCUAAUACGGGAUAUUCUGGGUCUGUCGCAUGAUGGGUCUGGGAAAGAUAUUGUUUCGGUGGGGGAUGGGCUCGCGGCCUAUCAGCUUGUUGGUGGGGUGAUGGCCUACCAAGGCGGUGACGGGUAGCCGGCCUGAGAGGGUGGACGGUCACACUGGGACUGAGACACGGCCCAGACUCCUACGGGAGGCAGCAGUGGGGAAUAAUGCACAAUGGGCGCAAGCCUGAUGCAGCGACGCCGCGUGAGGGAUGGAGGCCUUCGGGUUGUGAACCUCUUUCGCCAGUGAAGCAGGCCUGCCUCGUUUGUGGGUGGGUUGACGGUAGCUGGAGAAGAAGCGCCGGCUAACUACGUG
rnacentral:rRNA from 1 species